UACAGAGGUCUCGAGCGUUAGGCGGAAUCACUGGGCUUAAAGCGUGUGUAGGCGGUCGUUAAGUGCCUUGUGAAAUCCCAUGGCUCAACCAUGGAACUGCUGGCAUACUGGCGAUCUUGUGCCACCUAGGGCGAGCGGAACAGAUGGUGGAGCGGUGAAAUGCGUAGAUAUCAUCUGGAACGCCAAUGGUGAAACAGCUCGCUGGGUGUGCAGACGCUGAGACACGAAAGCCAGGGAGCGAACGGG
rnacentral:rRNA from 1 species